rnacentral:lncRNA from 1 species
AGAGGGAGUAGCGGUCGUCCUCCGGCCCUCACACAGCCGUCGGCUGCAUUCCUCUACUCGAGCUGAUUUGCCUCCCAAGUCUUCACUAGACGAGGUUCUUUUUCCAAUUUCGCUCCUUGGAUCUUCUUUCAUAUCUGCCGCAACGUGCUCCCUGUUUCUGGUUGUCUAGUCUACGGAAUCUUGAUUCCCUAACCUAACCUAGCUUCCAGCGAGAUUUUUGCGUCCUGCUUCGUUCAGGUUUAAUUCGUUUAAUACUCAACGAGACGCGCAUUUUAUUUGGGCCACUACAUAAUGAACUGAACCUUUUCCUUAUUUUUGUUGUUCGGAAUUGCAUAGCCGCUGACAGAAGCGAAAUUGAUAGCGCCCCAAGUGUUCGUUAAAUGCAUCACGAAAUUGCCAAACUCCAUCAGUGAUUAAAUUAUAGGCAAAUGCAGUCAUGUGCUCCAAGUUCUACUUACUAGUUGCUAUGUAUAAUCUAUUAAUCUCCGGCCCUUAGCUUGCAAAAAUAAAAUUGUUAAGUCAUACCCUAGCCUUUUCCAAAGGUUUGUCGGAGUGAGUAUAGCUCUUUUGCUCAGCGGUGUGCAAAGUCUCAAUUCUGAGCAUAUUGGUUGAUUAUUUGUUGAGUAUCGAUUCUAGUGAUGAAGAACUCAAAUUAUCUAGUGGUACCAUUUACUGGGUUACUUAUAAGCUUAUUUUUUCUUUCAAAAUGGAUGUUUAACCCCAGCCUCGGCAUCAUUGCGAUGCACACAACAAUAUUUAUUAAAGAUAAGAUAAAUAGGGUAUAAGUCAUGUCAUCCGGUACAACACAAACACAACCUGAAGAUAAAUGCUACAACAGGCUGAUAAGAGAAAUACAUGCCUACACACAUAGCCCAUUAAUAGAUCGCCAUCCAAAUUGGUUGGGCCCGUGCUACCAUCUCUCAUCGGUUGCACCCAAACUACAUAUGCUCUUGCGCUUCCGCACACUGAAUUAAGGACCACAUACAGAUCCAUCUUGUAACUUGGAAGGUGACCUUCAGAAAAUUCGGUAUAUUCGUUCUAUUAAAACAUGGUCAUUACGGCAUCUCUAUAUUGCCUAGAGAAAAGCGCACCUCCCACAAGGAUGUGUGCCUUACACUUAGGAUGAAUCCCACCCAAUCAGUUCUUGAACAAAUUCAAUAUACUACUAGGUGUAGGUAAGUUGAAAGCUACAUGAUUCGUACGCCAAAGAAGUGAGGCAAAUGGACACAAAAGAAAGAGAUGUUGUUUUGUUCCCUCUUGAUCAGAAAAGCAACAUUUUUAUGCCCCUGCGACAUACAUUUUGCCAAAUUAGGAUUACCCCUCUAUGCAGAAACCACAUGACGAUCUUAAUCUUGAGCGGCACCUUAGGUUUCCAAAUAUGUUGCCUCCAAGGCCCAGUGUUUAUGAGGUCCACAUAUUUUGAUCACACGAGGAAACUCUAGAAGAAUGCUACCGCCAUAAAAAAUAAUCGGGUUCUUUAGUUAAGUUGACCGACAUCAACCAGCGUACUAAAUCAAGCAGAGAAGUCCAUGCUAACACAGCCUGAAGAUAAAUACUACAACCGGCUCAUAAGAGAAAUACAUGCCUACACGAUAAUGGCAGCUACCAAAAAACACCGAACACAAAAUUAUUUAUAAAUAGAUAAUCAGCUUUAAAUGACAAAUAACAUCAAGCAAAAGACACUAGGUUAUUACGAUGAAUCCUUGCUUCAGCUUACCUACCUGUCUUCAGAAGAUUUUAUGUUUCACUGUUGAUCAAACUAUUUCAUUUGUAUUUGUAUAGUUAGAUGCACUGUAUGAGGUGGUUCGAGCAACCAAGGUUUCCUCAUUGAGUAAUGAUAUCCUUACGCGCAUCAUUGAGAGGGUUCGAGCAACCAAGGUUUCCUCAUUGAGUAAUGAUAUCCUUACUCGCAUCAUUGAGAGGUAUAUACAUCUAUAUAAUAUGUGUUCCUCAUAAAACUUAUUUUUCAGUUGUUCCUUUUUUGGGUGAGGAACGCUAAUUAUGGCAUCUUUCCAGCUCUUCAAAUGCUCGUAGGGAGUUUGUCCAGAAGGAAGUGCGGAGGACAUGGAUGAUUUGUGCUGCAACAGUAGGUGGUUUUUUCACUGGAUUAUUAAUAACAAGGAAGAUGGAUAACAAGAGAGAGAGAGAGAGCUCGGGAAUGAAACUUACGAGAACCUCGCGAAGUAGAGAGUUUAUUGAACUUUUGGACCAGGUAUUGUCGUUGCUUCUUCACUUUGCACCAGCUAUAUGAAAACCAAUCGCUUUGCUAUAGUGGAGCCAUUCCAAAUUCACUUUGCAUCAAGUAGGAGGAGGAAAACCAAACAAUUGGGCCAUGCAGGCUGCCAUGUUGGUCAGCACCGCACAUGCUAUCUCUCCCUGUCUCUCCUUGGUUGCUUUGUUUGCUCCCGCCCUCAGCACCGUGGAUUCUGGGCUAGGUGCCUUCCACGGCGGCAACUUAUGGAUGUGGACUGGGAUGUGGCUCCAGGGUGGUUUUCAUUUUAAUUGGUUCCAGGUGCUAAAUUAGAGUGGCCUUAUAGGUGCAAAGUUAUUGAUUUUUCCAUACCUGUUGCAAAUUGAAAGAAGCAACUACAGUAUCUGAUCCAAGUGCGCAUAAACUCAAUUAUAUAGGAUGAGAGAGCUGGAAACUUUAUUGCUGUGAGAUAUGUAGCUAGUUUAUUUAAUUAAGAAACAUGUCUGCCAUGCAGUUUGCAACCAACAUCUGCCUUCGGCUGGUUUCCGAAGGCUAGGGUAUGUUUGUCUGUGUCCAGAAUCUACCCAUCUGUCCAAAUUGGUGAUGACCAAAUAAUUGGUUAUGCUUUAGCUCAAUUAAAAAAUAGCCAGGUUAUGUGGAGGAUGGAAUGGUUUGCAUUUUUAUAAUUGUGUUUGCCAUUAUUAUCUCAACAUGACCAGUUUGGUAAUUUCACUGGAAGCAAGGACUAGUCUGGUAGCAAAGUAUCAUAGACAGGAACCAAGCAAGUUUGAACACAGAGGGAUCAUUAGGUAGUCUCAUUCCCAGUGGGUAUCCCCGUCGCUUCCAUGGGUAGAAAUCCAACUUGUAAAUUCUGCCUCCCGGAAUUCUAUACUGGCUGACCCAUUCCCUGGAGUUGGGGGCAACUAACUUCCGUAUUAAUUAGAAAGAUAGAAAGGCCAUGAGGAUGGGAAAAUAAAAAUAAAAUCCUUUUAAUUAGUUCUCCUUUUUGGAAUUUUCUUAUUAUCCUUUAGUUUAUAUAAUAUUUUUAAACAAAGCCACCAAGUCCCCUAGAUGUCAUCCACGUCAAGACUUGAGGAACACACAAAAAAUAUCAAGGUGAUGAGUUUAAGAGAAAAAUAUACCGACUUGUAGACUUCUAAUAAGUAGAUGAUCACUUGUCACCUACUCUCUCCGUCCGGAAUUAUUUGUUACGAAAAUGGAUAAAAAUGGAUGUAUCUAGAACUAAAAUACGUCUAGAUACAUCCAUUUCUCCAACAAGUAAUUACGGACGGAGGAAGUACAUGACUAACAAACAAUGGAAUGUAUGAUAGUGAGAUGCAAACCAAAUAAGAAAAGGGUUGAUAAUCUUGUUGAGUGCGCCUUCAGGUACCAACAAUGUGGUUGCUUCUACACAUCCACAGUACAAAUGUAAGCACAAAAUCUUGCUACAACCACAACAACAACAACAACAUCAACAAAGACUUUAGUCCCAAACAAGUUGGGGUAGGCUAGAGGUGAAACCCAUAAGAUCUCGCAACCAACUCAUGGCUCUGGCACAUGGAUAGCAAGCUUCCACGCACCCCUGUCCAUAGCUAUCUCUUUGGUGAUGAAGGUGAUGAGUUUAAGAGAAAAAUAUACCGACUUGUAGACUUCUAAUAAGUAGAUGAUCACUUGUCACCUACUCUCUCCGUCCGGAAUUAUUUGUUACGAAAAUGGAUAAAAAUGGAUGUAUCUAGAACUAAAAUACGUCUAGAUACAUCCAUUUCUCCAACAAGUAAUUACGGACGGAGGAAGUACAUGACUAACAAACAAUGGAAUGAUAGUGAGGUGCAAACCAAAUAAGAAAAGGGUUGAUAAUCUUGUUGAGUGCGCCUUCAGGUACCAACAAUGUGGUUGCUUCUACACAUCCACAGUACAAAUGUAAGCACAAAAUCUUGCUACAACCACAACAACAACAACAACAAAGCCUUUAGUCCCAAACAAGUUGGGGUAGGCUAGAGGUGAAACCCAUAAGAUCUCGCAACCAACUCAUGGCUCUGGCACAUGAAUAGCAAGCUUCCACGCACCCCUGUCCAUAGCUAGCUCUUUGGUGAUACUCCAAUCCUUCAGGUCUCUCUUAACGGAUUGUCCUAAAAAGAUGCUUUAUUAGCAACAAGAAUAACAAAUUAACUGAUCUCUUGCCCAUUGUAUUGACUUCACUAAACUUUCCGGUUCCUCAAAACGAAAAUUAGAUGAAAGACCAGUUAGAUACCGUCCUCUUGAUUUAAGAUUCAACUAUGUACUUCUAGUAGAUAAGGAUUGUCCAAUCUAAUAUAGAGAAGAAACUUACUAAUGGACCCCCUUCAUUCCAUUCCUUGAUGCACUCUGUGUUAGGACCUCUGCUAAGGAAAUGUGUGAUUUUUUUCUUUGAUGACAUCCUGGUCUACAGCAAGACUUUGAAAGAACAUGUGCAAGAUCUCAAAUAGGUUUUCUUCCUACUCAGAGAGCACAAAUUGUAUGCAAAAAACUUCCAAGUGCACUUUUGGGCAGCAACAAGUUGAGUAUUUGGGACAUGUCAUUAUUGCUGAAGGAGUUGCUACUGACCCCAUCAAAAUUCAAGCUGUAGUAAACUGGCCUGAACCACAAAACACUACUCAAUUGAGAGGUUUCCUAGGACUGACAGUGUGACGCCCCCGAUUCAACCGUACACUAAUCAUGCACGCAAACGUGUACGAUCAAGAUCAGGGACUCACGGGAAGAUAUCACAACACAACUCUAAAACAAAAUAAGUCAUACAAGCAUCAUAAUACAAGCCAGGGGCCUCGAGGGCUCGAAUACAAGUGCUCGAUCAUAGACGAGUCAGCGGAAGCAACAGUAUCUGAGUACAGACAUAAAUUAAAAAAGUUUGCCUUAAGAAGGCUAGCACAAACUAGGAUACAGAUCGAAAGAGGCGCAGGCCUCCUGCCUGGGAUCCUCCUAAACUACUCCUGGUCGUCGUCAGCGGCCUACACAUAGUAGUAGGCACCUCCGGUGUAGUAGGAGUCGUCGUCGAUGGUGGCGUCUGGCUCCUGGGCUCCAGCAUCUGGUUGCGACAACCAGGUAGAAAGGAAAGGGGGAAAAGAGGGGGAAAAGCAACCGUGACUACUCAUCCAAAGUACUCGCAAGCAAGGAUAUACACUACGUAUGCAUGGGUAUCUGUGUAAAGGGGCUAUAUCGGUGGACUGAACUGCAAAAUGCCAGAAUAAGAGGGGGAUAGCUAAUCCUGUCGAAGACUACGCUUCUGGCAGCCUCCAUCUUGCAGCAUGUAGCAGAGAGUAGAUGGUAAGUUCACCAAGUAUCAUCGCAUAGCAUAAUCCUACCCGGCGAUCCUCCCCUCAUCGCCCUGUGUGAGAGCGAUCACCGGAUUAUAUCUGGCACUUGGAAGGGUGUGUUUUAUUAAGUAUCCGGUUCUAGUUGUCAUAAGGUCAAGGUACAACACCGGGUCGUCCUUUUACCGAGGGACACGGCUAUUCGAAUAGAUAAACUUCCCUGUAGGGGUGCACCACAUAACCCAACACGCUCGAUCCCAUUUGGCCGGACACACUUUCCAGGGUCAUGCCCGGCCUCGGAAGAUCAACACAUCGCAGCCCCACCUAGGCACAACAGAGAGGUCAGCACGCCUUCUAAAUCCUAUGGCGCAGGGGUCUGGACCCAUCGCCCAUUGCACACCUGCACGUUGCGAGGGCGGCCGGAAGCAGACCUAGCCUAGUAGGUGUUCCAGUCCAAUCCGGCGCGCAUCGCUCAGUCGCUGACGUCACGAAGGCUUCGGCUGAUACCACGAUGCCGAGUGCCCAUAACUUUCCCACGUAGUUAGUUAGUGCGUAUAGACCAAAUGGCCAGACUCAGAUCAAAUACCAAGAUCUCGUUAAGCGUGUUAAUUGAUGUAACCACGGACACCGACCAGGGCCAGGCCCACCUCUCACCUAGGCAGUCUCAACCUGCCCUGUCGCUCCGCCACAAAGUAACAGUCGGGGGCCGUCAGGAACCCAGGCCCACCUCUACCGGGAUGGAGCCACCUGUCCUUUCAGCCCCCUCAUCAGAAUCACUUGCGAGUACUCAACGAGCUGACCCGACUUUAGUCACCACCUGUGUCAUGUAUAUAAAGUAUAUAGUAUAUACCCGUGAUCAUCUCCCUAGUGAUCACGGCCCGAUAGUAUAUUAUGGCAGACGGACAAGAAUGUAGGGCCACUGAUGGAAAACUAGCAUCCUAUACUAAGUAUUUAGGAUUGCAGGUAAAGGUAACAACAGUAGCAGCAAGGACAGGCUAUGCAGCAGAAUAGGAUUAACCGAAAGCAGUAACAUGCCACACUACUCUAAUGCAAGCAGUAUAGAGAAGGAAUAGGCGAUAUCUGGUGAUCAAGGGGGGGCUUGCCUGGUUGCUCUAGUAAGAAGAAGGGGUCGUCAACACCGUAGUCGUACUGGGUAGCAGCGACGUCGGUCUCGGUGUCUAGCGAGAGAAGAGGGGGAAGAAACAAUGAAUACAAUGCAAACAGAUGCAUAUCGAUGCAUGACACAAGUAACGGUGCUAGGAGUGCCCUAACGCAGUAGGAGGUGAUACCGGUGAAGGGGGGAAACAUCCAGGAAAGUAUCCCCGGUGUUUCGCGUUUUCGGGCAGAUGAAACGGAGGAGGAUUGUUGCAUGUUCGUUAUGAUAGGGACACGUGGCUAACAAACGGGCUCCGUAUUCGGAUUCGUCUUGUCGUUCUGAGCAACUUUCAUGUACAAAGUAUUUUCAUCCGAGUUACGGUUUAUUUUUUAUGAUUUAUCAAAGUUUUAAUGAUUUUCUAGAAUUUCUGAAAUUGUUUAGUUCGAAUAAUAAGCAGAAUAAAGUUUUGUCACCUAGUGCUGAAAUAGCCAGAGUGUAUGACAGUAGGCCAGGGGGUCCAGUCAGCAUGCACACUCAGCAGUUGACCAAUCAACAUUGACUGGUCAAAAGGGUCAGCGGAGCCUACAUGUCAUUGACACAAUGACUUGUCCUUUAUUUUAACAGGGGAUUUAAGUGAGGGGGCCACUGUCAUAGGGUAGUUAGACUAAUUAUCCUAAAUAAUUAAUUAACUAAGUAAUCAAUUAUUUAACUAAUAUUUCUUUUAUUUUAUUUUUUAAGGGUCGGCCCCACUUGGAAGUGGCCCCAACCGGCCACAGAGGGGAGUUGCGCCCGCGCGAGCACAGGACGAGGCCUGGCCAUGGCCGAGCGCGGCCUAACAGGCGGAGGGGGAGCGGUGAGCGCGUAGCGACGGGGGCGGCCAGGGGAGCCGGGGUGGGGGCGAGCCGCGGUAGUGGUCGGCGGAACCGGCGCGGCCACGGCGCGGCAGGGCAGAGGGGAGCCGGGUGGGCGGCCAGGGGAGGCGCCGCGGCAGAGGCUCGAGGCAAGCAGUGGGGGAAGCCCGAGAGCGGGGGCAACGGCGCGGGAGACACGGCCUUGCCGCCGUGGGCACGCGCAGGGCAAGGCGCGAGCACGGCGCGACCAACGAGUAGGGGACGACCGGGGCGUGCACGGAUGCGUGCGACGAGACGUAGGGGAUGAGUGAGGCGGCGGCCGGAGCGACGGCGGUGGUGGAUCUGGGGCUAGAGGGCGCGACACGGCGAGCGGUUUGGCUCGUCGGCCUCCUGGGAGUGCCAGGAGCACACUGGGAACAUUGGUUCGGGCAGAGGAGCACGGGGUGCUCGACCCCUGUCGGCCAUGGCGAACGGUGGAGUUCGGUGCUCGCGGACGCUGAUGAUACGACAUGAAUCCGAGGGGGAAGCAGAGGGGAAAGGAAGAGGGGCUCAAAGUGAGCCUGUAGAUGAGCAAGGUGGGCUCAGGGAGGGCUCGACGUUGCCGGAAUCGACGACGAAGUUCGUUGGAGCCGAGGAAGAAGACGAUGUCACAGGGCUUGAUACAGGGGCUCCAAGGUUGACCCCGUCCAUGUAGUUGACGUAGCCAACGAAGUCGCAGCAGCUGGACAUGGCCUCAAGCGCCGAGAGCUUGGUGGCUAUGGGAUCGAUGGGGUGAUGACGCUGGAAGCGCUCGGCCUUGCGCGAGAGAGAGCACAGCGAGAGGGGGAAGGGGAUCUGGGUGCUAGGGUUUCGGGGAGGUAGAGAGGGGCGUCCGGGGGAACUAGUAGGCGGGGGGGGGGGCAUGGAUGCCCGGCGCGUGUCCACGGCCGGCCAUGGCGCCGUGGAUGCGUUGCCAUGAUCCCCCUGAUGAACAGAGGAGGGGGACGGCAGUAAGUGGGCCGGCCUUGUGGAUAAGGCCCAGGGAGAAAGCUGGGGGGCCUUUUUCUUUACUUUGAAAUCCUUUUCUAUUCUUUUCUCUUUUGUUUUCUUUCUUUUGUGUUUUAUAUUUACUUUUAGCACUAAACCAUUUUUUUUUGAAAAAUGUGUGGCUGGUCCAAAAUCAGUAAGCAAUAUCCCUCACUGCCAGAAAAUUUUUAAACCCGAAUAAAAUAGUUUAGUAUUUAUAGUUAAUAAAAGGCAUUUACUUAAUCGCUUAUGCUACUAUUUAUUUAUUUUUGAGCAUUAAAAUAUUUUAUAAAAAUGUGGAUUCUCCACCAAUAUUACCAGAACAUUUUGGUUUUAAUAUGUGAAGACUUUUGUUGUCUGACUUGACUUCAAAUUUGAAUUCAAACAGGAUUUGAAUUAUUGCGAGUUUACCAACAGUAAUCGUGGUGACGUGCCAUCAUUAGCAGGGAAUUACUGUAGCUUAACUAUCCGGGCGUCACAAUUCCUCCAAAAAUUCAUGCCUCUUGUGUUUGAGAGAAGUAGUAAAAUUCCUCCACAAAGGUGGAAGCUUGGCAAUGAUGCAUUAGACAAUAAACUUAUCCCGCAACACAUAAUUAAAUGCUCAAGUUCUUAGUGAGUGACUGAAUCUCGUGAGCCGGAUCAACUAUGGAGCUGUCGCCGGUCAUCUUGUAGUCAAUUAUACCGUUCCAUGACAUAAAACUCACGCAUGUGUCCGAGGCUCCAAACUUGGCCUCCAGUGCAUUCCACCAUAUUGUUACCAACCUCAAUGGUCAUGAAAGGAUCGACGAUCUUGUCUACAAGAACACUCAGAACAUCACCUCUGAAGAUAGUAUCAGUAGCCUAGAAUGAUUUUGCUCCUGUUCAUGAAGAAGCGACCCUUUGGAUUUCCCUUGGAGGCGUCAAAACAGUUCAUGGUGGUUAGCCAAAGAACUAUGCUUGCAUGCCAUCUCUUGCAAUUGACGUCCUCAAACGGGGGAGGUUUGCGAGUUGCAACAAAAGCAAUUUAAGAAAAUGUCCUACAUGUAUUAGAUUUUUGGAUUGUUAAAGAUUUGAGAAAUGUUUCAUUAAAUUUAAUCCGAAAAGGGUACAUAAAACAUGAUAAUCAUAGAUAGAUGAUAAUCGAAUCAAGUAACAAAGUGAUGUAAGUAGUCAUACAAUUGGGUACGUAACAGACGAACAUCAUAUCCAUCUCGAUAGAUAAAAGUAGUAGACCAGACGCAAUCCCUAAAAGAAUGGAGAAAAAGACAUACAGUGUAGUGGAAGAAGAUGCAUGUGUGUCGUUCAUCAUGUCACCGAGGAGGUUACCGACAUCGAAGAAGAAGUCAUCAUGCUCAGCCAUGAUGGAGGAAAAUCCAGUAGUCACGCUAGACCGCUCCCGAAAAAUAUGAUCUCUCCAUCUAUCUAUCUAUCUAUCUAUCUAUCUAUCUCUCUCUCUCUCUCUCACACACACACACACACACACAUGAUCGUGAGAGAAACGACUUCACAUGCCUGUUUUCUCACUUCUUGGUGCACGCCGAAACCGAGUUGGGAAGGCGGUGGGUGGCACAAAGCUUUAGAAGCAGGAGGCAGACGCGUCGGAGAUGAAGUGUGUCUCGUUUGGAAAGAGGAGUGACCUCUUAUAGAUGCGUUGCAACUAACCCCUCGGCAGUGGCAAGCGCUACUCGACUCGAUCAUGAAAUACAAUGCGCAAGUUGUGGCGAGGCGGACGACAGAGGAGGAGCGCGUGUGUAUGCGUCUUCUCUAGCUCUUAGUGAUGUGUGUAAUAACUCGCCUUAUGGGUUGAUGUUUCACACCCUUCACUAACGUGGUGGGUCUAAACUUUUCCCACUCUCCCUUUCAUGCAUGAAUGGACCGUAUGUGCUCUCUCGGAUUCUUCCUAGGAAUGAUUGUAAAGGAUAAUGGGCUAAAGCCCAAUAAUUCUAACAUAACAAAUAUUUUUAAGACAAACCUUGAUGGACCAUUUUUAAAGUAUGCUAUGAACAUUCUUAAUACACGAUGACAUUUUUCGUGACACAAUCAACAUUUUUUAAAUACAAUACGACCAUUUUAAAAUACUCAACAUUUCUAAUACGCGAAAAAUAUUUUUUGAGACGGGAUGAAUAUUUUUUUAAAUACGUAGUGAGCAUUUUUUCAAAAAUAUGAUGAAUUUUUUUAAUAUCCCAGGAACCUAUUUACUAUACAGUGAAUAUUUUUUCAAUGCACAUGAACAAUUUUUUAUCCAUGAACAAUUUUUUUGACAUACUUGAACAUUUUUGGGCUGAGAAAAUUGCUCGAAGCACACAUGAAAACAGACAUCUGUUCGUUUGCGUCAAUUUCUUUGGGCUGUGCUUUUUGUCCUUGCAGACCAAACGGAUGCAGCGGACGAAGGCCCGUUGGAGUUGCCCUAACUCCCCAAAAGUUCAGUUUAUUAUAAAGGGCUAGAGAUGGGCCUUUUGGGAUUGAGGUGGAAUUGGCCCAGAUAACCAAGCUGGUACGAGGAAAGAAGUAUCCGAGGUACAUUUUCGGAUUUUCCACAGAACACACCUUCCUAACCAAGAGAGAGAUGACGUCUCAAAAAAAACGAGACACAGAGGAGGGGGGAAGAGAGAGAGGAGGGGGAUGAAAUCGACGGUGCUGCGAGGGUCCGCCUUCCGCGGUGCCAUCCCAGCGGCGGCUGCCGGUAGGCUUUCAGGGGUAGAGGGAGUAGCGGUCGUCCUCCAGCCCUCACACAGCCGUCGGCUGCAUUCCUCUACUCGAGCUGAUUUGCCUCCCAAGUCUUCACUAGACGAGGUUCUUUUUCCAAUUUCGCUCCUUGGAUCUUCUUUCAUAUCUGCCGCAACGUGCUCCCUGUUUCUGGUUGUCUAGUCUACGAAAUCUUGAUUCCCUAACCUAACCUAGCUUCCAGCGAGAUUUUUGUGUCCUGCUUCGUUCAGGUUUAAUUCGUUUAAUACUCAACUGGACGGGCAUUUUAUUUGGGCCACUGCAUAAUGAACUGAACCUUUUCCUUAUUUUUGUUGUUCGGAAUUGCAUAGCCGCUGACAAAAGAGACAUUGAUAGCGCCCCAAGUGUUCGUUAAAUGCAUCACGAAAUUGCCAAACUCCAUCAGUGAUUAAAUUAUAGGCAAAUGCAGUCAGCGGCUAUGUAUAGUCUAUUAAUCUCCGGCCCUUAGCUUGCAAAAAUAAAAUUGUUAAGUCAUACUCUAGCCUUUUCCAAAUGUUUGUCGGAGUGAGUAUAGCUCUUUUGCUCAGCGGUGUGCAAAGUCUCAAUUCUGAGCAUAUUGGUUGAUUAUUUGUUGAGUAUCGAUUCUAGUGAUGAAGAACUCAAAUUAUCUAGUGGUACCAUUUACUGGGUUACUUAUAAGCUUAUUUUUUCUUUCAAAAUGGAUGUUUAACCCCAGCCUCGGCAUCAUUGCGAUGCACACAACAAUAUUUAUUAAAGAUAAGAUAAAUAGGGUAUAAUUCAUGUCAUCCAGUAUAACACAAACACAACCUGAAGAUAAAUGCUACAACAGGCUGAUAAGAGAAAUACAUGCCUACACACAUAGCCCAUUAAUAGAUCGCCAUCCAAAUUGGUUGGGCCCGUGCUACCUUCUCUCAUCGGUUGCACCCAAACUACAUAUGCUCUUGCGCUUCCGCACACUGAAUUAAGGACCACAUACAGAUCCAUCUUGUAACUUGGAAGGUGACCUUCAGAAAAUUUAGUAUAUUCGUUCUAUUAAAACAUGGUCAUUACGGCAUCUCUAUAUUGCCUAGAGAAAAGCGCACCUCCCACAAGGAUGUGUGCCUUACACUUAGGAUGAAUCCCACCCAAUCAGUUCUUGAACAAAUUCAAUAUACUACUAGGUGUAGGUAAGUUGAAAGCUACAUGAUUCGUACGCCAAAGAAGUGAGGCAAAUGGACACAAAAGAAAGAGAUGUUGUUUUGUUCCCUCUUGAUCAGAAAAGCAACAUUUUUUAUGCCCGUGCGACAUACAUUUUGCCAAAUUAGGAUUACCCCUCUAUGCAGAAACCACAUGACGAUCUUAAUCUUGAGCGGCACCUUAGGUUUCCAAAUAUGUUGCCUCCAAGGCCCAGUGUUUAUGAGGUCCACAUACGUUGAUCACACGAGGAAACUCUAGAAGAAUGCUACCGCCAUAAAAAAUAAUCGGGUUCUUUAGUUAAGUUGACCGACAUUAACCAGCGUACUAAAUCAAGCCAAGAAGUCCAUGCUAACACAGCCUGAAGAUAAAUACUACAACCGGCUCAUAAGAGAAAUACAUGCCUACACGAUAAUGGCAGCUACCAAAAAACACCGAACACAAAAUUAUUUAUAAAUAGAUAAUCAGCUUUAAAUGACAAAUAACAUCAAGCAAAAGACACUGGGUUAUUACGAUGAAUCCUUGCUUCAGCUUACCUACCUGUCUUCAGAAGAUUUUAUGUUUCACUGUUGAUCAAACUAUUUCAUUUGUAUUUGUAUAGUUAGAUGCACUGUAUGAGGUGGUUCGAGCAACCAAGGUUUCCUCAUUGAGUAAUGAUAUCCUUACGCGCAUCAUUGAGAGGGUUCGAGCAACCAAGGUUUCCUCAUUGAGUAAUGAUAUCCUUACGCGCAUCAUUGAGAGGUAUAUACAUCUAUAUAAUAUGUGUUCCUCAUAAAACUUAUUUUUCAAUUGUUCCUUUUUUGGGCGAGGAACGCUAAUUAUGGCAUCUUUCCAGCUCUUCAAAUGCUCGUAGGGAGUUUGUCCAGAAGGAAGUGCGGAGGACAUGGAUGAUUUGUGCUGCAACAGUAGGUGGUUUUUUCACUGGAUUAUUAAUAACAAGGAAGAUGGAUAACAAGACAGAGAGAGAGCUCGGGAAUGAAACUUACGACAACCUCGCGAAGUAGAGAGUUUAUUGAACUUUUGGACCAGGUAUUGUCGUUGCUUCUUCACUUUGCACCAGCUAUAUGAAAACCAAUCGCUUUGCUAUAGUGGAGCCAUUCCAAAUUCACUUUGCAUCAAGUAGGAGGAGGAAAACCAAACAAUUGGGCCAUGCAGGCUGCCAUGUUGGUCAGCACCGCACAUGCUAUCUCU